CCUACGGGGUGCAGCAGUGGGGAAUAUUGCACAAUGGGCGAAAGCCUGAUGCAGCAACGCCGCGUGAGCGAUGCAGGCCUUCGGGUCGUAAAGCUCUGUCCUCAAGGAAGAUAAUGACGGUACUUGAGGAGUAAGCCCCGGCUAACUACGUGGCAGCAGCCGCGGUAAUACGUAGGGGGAUAGCGUUAUACGGAAGUACUGGGCGUAAAGGGUGCGUAGGUGGUUUCUUAAGUCAGAGGUGGAAGGCGACGGCCCAACAGGAGGAAGCCUUUGAAAAUGGGGAACUUGAGUGCAGGAGAGGAGAGUGGAAUUCCUAGUGUAGCGGUGAAAUGCGUAGAUAUUAGGAGGAACACCAGUGGCGAAGGCGGCUCUCUGGACUGUAACUGACACUGAGGCACGAAAGCGUGGGGAGCAAACAGGAUUAGAUACCCGGGUAGUC
rnacentral:rRNA from 1 species